rnacentral:rRNA from 1 species
UACGUAGGGUGCAAGCGUUGUCCGGAAUUAUUGGGCGUAAAGAGCUCGUAGGCGGUUUGUCGCGUCGAAUGUGAAAACCCGGGGCUCAACCCCGGGCCUGCAUUCGAUACGGGCAGACUAGAGUUCGGUAGGGGAGUCUGGAAUUCCUGGUGUAGCGGUGAAAUGCGCAGAUAUCAGGAGGAACACCGGUGGCGAAGGCGGGUCUCUGGGCCGGAACUGACGCUGAGGAGCGAAAGCGUGGGGAGCGAACAGG